rnacentral:rRNA from 1 species
GACGAACGCUGGCGGCAUGCUUAACACAUGCAAGUCGAACGGAAAGGCCCUGCUUUUGUGGUGUGCUCGAGUGGCGAACGGGUGAGUAACACGUGAGUAACCUGCCCUUGACUUUGGGAUAACUUCAGGAAACUGGGGCUAAUACCGUAUAGGAUCCCCUGCUGCAGUGUGGGCGGUGGAAAUUUGCGGCGGUUGGGGAUGGACGCGCGGCUUAUCAGCUUGUUGGUGGGGUAGUGGCUUACCCAGGGUUUGACGGGUAGCCGGCAUGAGAGGGUGACCGGCGACAAUGGGACUGAGAUACGGCCCAGACGCCAACGGGAGGCAGCAGUGGGGAAUAUUGCACAAUGGGCGGAAGCCUGAUGCAGAGACGCCGCGUGCGGGAUGACGGCCUUCGGGUUGUAAACCGCUUUCGCCUGUGACGAAGCGUGAGUGACGGUAAUGGGUAAAGAAGCACCGGCUAACUACGUG